rnacentral:tRNA from 29 species
GGUGGGGUUGGGGAGCGGUCAAACCCAACAGACUGUAAAUCUGUCGCGAAAGCUUCGAAGGUUCGAAUCCUUCCCCCACCACCA